rnacentral:tmRNA from 1 species
GGGGGUGAAAGGGCUCGACUUAAACCGUCGGGUAAGAGCAGCAUGCCGCGGACGCAUGGUUAGCCGCGUUAAUAACCCGUGCACAAUACAAACGCAAACAACCGUUUGUUCAGUGCCAAACCGAUGGCUAUGCCAUCAUUUGGCAUGAUGCCAGCCUUCGCUAACUAAAUUAGCGAAGCCUCUAUCCAUUCCUCGCCUACAGGGUGGAAUAGAGCAUUAGUAGGAUAGCUUAAGGCAAGUUAGUCCUUGUGCUUUAGGUGAAACUAAAAAGGGCUAAGGCUUAUGGAAUCCCGUUCCGCAGGUUUCCAUAGGCUUAUGCUUGAAUGCGGGACUAAGCAUGUAGCGGCUUUUAUUCGUUUGUUUAAGGACGCCGGUUCAAUUCCGGCCACCUCCACCA